rnacentral:lncRNA from 1 species
AAUAGUAGAAUAAAAUAAUAUCAAAGACAUUAUAAUAAAACAUAAAAAACAUAUGAGAUGAGAGAUUAGAGAAGAUGAAAAAAAGAACAUAUGAGAUGCGGGAUUGAGAAGAAAUGUAAUAAAACAUAAAAAACAUAUGAGAUGAGAGAUUAGAGAAGAUGAAAAAAAGAACAUAUGAGAUGCGGGAUUGAGAAGAAAUGUGCGAUAAAAACGUAAUUGAAAGAGAAAAUAGUAACAUAAAAGAUUAAAAAGAAAUAACAUAAGAGAUGCAAUAUUAGAGUAAAAAAAGCGAAACGUACAUGGUAAAGAAGAUGAGAAGAAUGUGCGAUACUACUGGGAGAGAUUU